GGGUAUUUUUGGAGAGAUAAUGCAGAUUUGGGGGUAAAUGGGGGAUUUUUGAAGAGAAAAUGCAGGAUUUUUGGGUUAAUGGGGUAAUUUUUGAAGGAAAAUGUAUGAUGAUGGGGUUAAAUGGGAGAUUUCCGAAGAGAAAUUGCGUUUUUAUCAGGUUAAAUGGGGGAUUCUCGAAGAGAAAAUGCAUGGUUUUUGGAUUAAAUGGGGGAUUUUUGAAAAGAAAAUGCAUGACUUUCGGGUUAAAUGGGGGAUUCUCGAAGAGAAAAUGCAUGGUUUUUGAUUAAAUGGGGGAUUUCUGAAAAGAAAAUGCAUGACUUUCGGGUUAGAUCAGGGAUUCUUGAAGAGAAAAUGCAUCAUUUUUGGGUGGCAUGGGGGAUUUCCGAAGAGAAAU
ensembl:lncRNA